rnacentral:rRNA from 1 species
GUAUAAUGGGUCAGCGACUUAUAUUCUGUAGCAAGGUUAACCGUAUAGGGGAGCCGGAGGGAAACCGAGUCUUAACCGGGCGUUAAGUUGCAGGGUAUAGACCCGAAACCCGGUGAUCUAGCCAUGGGCAGGUUGAAGGUUGGGUAACACUAACUGGAGGACCGAACCGACUAAUGUUGAAAAAUUAGCGGAUGACCUGUGGCUGGGGGUGAAAGGCCAAUCAAACCGGGAGAUAGCUGGUUCUCCCCGAAAGCUAUUUAGGUAGCGCCUCGUGAAUUCAUCUCCGGGGGUAGAGCACUGUUUCGGCUAGGGGGCCAUCCCGGCUUACCAACCCGAUGCAAACUGCGAAUACCGGAGAAUGUUAUCACGGGAGACACACGGCGGGUGCUAACGUCCGUCGUGAAGAGGGAAACAACCCAGACCGCCAGCUAAGGUCCCAAAGUCAUGGUUAAGUGGGAAACGAUGUGGGAAGGCCCAGACAGCCAGGAUGUUGGCUUAGAAGCAGCCAUCAUUUAAAGAAAGCGUAAUAGCUCACUGGUCGAGUCGGCCUGCGCGGAAGAUGUAACGGGGCUAAACCAUGCACCGAAGCUGCGGCAGCGAACGUAUCACCCAAGACAACUUUACGGAGUUGACGAUUGACGGAGCGAAGCGACGUCAAAGCGUUCAUUAAAGUCGAGUUGGCUUAGGGAUACGUUCGUUGGGUAGGGGAGCGUUCUGUAAGCCUGUGAAGGUGUGUCGUGAGGCAUGCUGGAGGUAUCAGAAGUGCGAAUGCUGACAUAAGUAACGAUAAAGCGGGUGAAAAGCCCGCUCGCCGGAAGACCAAGGGUUCCUGUCCAACGUUAAUCGGGGCAGGGUGAGUCGACCCCUAAGGCGAGGCCGAAAGGCGUAGUCGAUGGGAAACGGGUUAAUAUUCCCGUACUUGGUGUUACUGCGAAGGGGGGACGGAGAAGGCUAUGUUGGCCGGGCGACGGUUGUCCCGGUUUAAGCGUGUAGGUGUGUGUUCCAGGUAAAUCCGGUUCACUUUAACACUGAGGCGUGACGACGAGGCACUACGGUGCUGAAGCAACAAAUGCCCUGCUUCCAGGAAAAGCCUCUAAGCAUCAGGUAACAUCAAAUCGUACCCCAAACCGACACAGGUGGUCAGGUAGAGAAUACCAAGGCGCUUGAGAGAACUCGGGUGAAGGAACUAGGCAAAAUGGUGCCGUAACUUCGGGAGAAGGCACGCUGACACGUAGGUGAAGUGAUUUACUCAUGGAGCUGAAGUCAGUCGAAGAUACCAGCUGGCUGCAACUGUUUAUUAAAAACACAGCACUGUGCAAACACGAAAGUGGACGUAUACGGUGUGACGCCUGCCCGGUGCCGGAAGGUUAAUUGAUGGGGUCAGCGCAAGCGAAGCUCCUGAUCGAAGCCCCGGUAAACGGCGGCCGUAACUAUAACGGUCCUAAGGUAGCGAAAUUCCUUGUCGGGUAAGUUCCGACCUGCACGAAUGGCGUAAUGAUGGCCAGGCUGUCUCCACCCGAGACUCAGUGAAAUUGAACUCGCUGUGAAGAUGCAGUGUACCCGCGGCAAGACGGAAAGACCCCGUGAACCUUUACUAUAGCUUGACACUGAACAUUGAGCCUUGAUGUGUAGGAUAGGUGGGAGGCUUUGAAGUGUGGACGCCAGUCUGCAUGGAGCCGACCUUGAAAUACCACCCUUUAAUGUUUGAUGUUCUAACGUGGACCCGUAAUCCGGGUUGCGGACAGUGUCUGGUGGGUAGUUUGACUGGGGCGGUCUCCUCCUAAAGAGUAACGGAGGAGCACGAAGGUUGGCUAAUCCUGGUCGGACAUCAGGAGGUUAGUGCAAUGGCAUAAGCCAGCUUGACUGCGAGCGUGACGGCGCGAGCAGGUGCGAAAG